CUCAUAACCAAAGAGUAUGGAUCCUUGCAGUCACGAAAGCUUUAAAUCUAAAAUAGAACAUCACUUUACCUUGCUGAGGGGAGUUGAUAGCCUACGAGGAUGGUGGUGAGAAGGGGAGGAGAUGUUAUUUUAUGGAAGGAGAGUCCCCUUCCAUUAAAACUUCAGCAAGCUGAUAUUCUGGGUUUUUUUUCUCUUUUCUGCGUUUUUUUUCUUGACAUGGACCUGGUUGAGGCUCACCAGGUUUGAGUUUUACUAAAAACCUGUCCAUUGAAGUCUGUUUUUGCCUUCUAAGAAUGUUCCUGAAAGUGUGACAUUGUCUUGUCAUUCCACACAAUACUGUUACGGCUUGUAACUUAGAUAUGGCAUCUCAGUUGUGGAGUUUGUAGGUAAUGUUUAGAAUUUGGUCAAUUUUGACCCAGAUGCCAGCAUGCAAUGGCCUACUCGUUUUGAAUGGUGCAAUAGUUUGUUGUACAUACAAUGUUAAGCAGACGGUGCGUAUUUUUGUAAAUAGCUUCUUGUGAAUACGAUGUAACCUGAUGCAGCAUAUUUCAGUGCAGUAAUUAAAUUUUGUUAAAAUAACUC